GGGCCUCUAGCUCAAUGGUAGAGCUGCGGACUUUUAAUCCGUAGGUUGUGGGUUCGAGUCCCACGGGGCCCACCG
rnacentral:tRNA from 1 species